AGUUGAGCAGCCAGGAGUUGAGUUUCAGCCUAGUCUCCUGAGGUCAAACUAGAAAGCUAAACAUUCUCUCUCCUGUGGCUUUCCUUGCAAUUCAGUCUGUUCCUGUGGAUCUUGUAGAUGCUGAGAAUAAUUUCCAAUAGAGCAACUCAAGACAUCCAAGUGCCAUCUGUCAGUGAGACCUUUCCUUUGAGCCCUGUUCCUACUACCUUCAAUUUCUUACCACGUUUGUAUAUUAACUAAGGGGGUGCUUUAAUUUAACUAGUUAUAGGAAUUAGAUUUGUAGGUAGAGAAGUAUUAAAUAGUGUAGGUUAUCAACUUGAUUUUGGGGGGGAAAGUUAUUUAUAGUUUUUAGAUAGAUCAUCCCAAUUCCUUCCCUUAUCUUAAAACAAACUAUUAUUUUAGUGAUAUAUAUAAUUUCAGGUUAUUAUUUCACUACCAAAGAUGGCACACAGAGUUUGAUCCUGGAAAGGCAGAGGGACUUGGGCAUAGCUGCUCCCCUCCCCCUCUCCACAGCACCUGAAGAAAUUUUUUCACAUCACAUUUUCCUAGCAAUCCAAUGGGAGCACACAGGGGCUAAGAUGGGUGGCUCACAGGUGGUAGAGCUGUGGGGGAGUGGAGUGCUUGAGUCACUCCCCUACCCCUCUCUACAUUCACUGAGGACAUUCCUCACUUCAUUCAUCCCUUCACCCAGCAGUUCAAUGGGAGCUUUUCCUUCCUCCACUGUGUGGGGUAAGGUGGGACAGAGUGUGUUUGCAGUCGGUGUGGGCAAGGGGCACAGAACUCAAUCUCUGGGGGUUGGGGUGAGAGAGGGGCCCAGUACUCCAUCUCCAGAAGGUUCACCAUUAGUGCCCUAGACUAAUAAAACUCAUAGAUUCAUUUAUAAGACUUGUUAGUUACUAUUGCUGAUAAUUUUUUUUUAAAGUAUUGAUGACAAACUGUGCAUUAUUGGAGGAUUCAAAAUAGAUAGCCUUAGAAUCUCUGUUCUUACUGGGGACCCAAAACAUAUUCCCAUGAGCCCAGGAGAGAUCUCUAUAAGGCAGUGGAUGAUUGGGUAGAGCAUGUAUGUUGCCCAUUACAAGUCCCAUAGGAGUUCUGAGAAGGAAAGAACACUGAAGACUAUAGUUGGCCAGGGAAGGCUUCACUGAGGAAGUAGCUUUUCUUUUCCCUGGGUGGGGUUCAUCUAAGGAAAAGAUUUUAGACUGGUGAUCCUGAUAGAGAAUGUAUGAGAGGGAGGAGUUUGGUUUCUAGUUCUUGUUGGAACAAUGAAAGAGAACUGUUGAUGGGUAGACAAGAGAACUAUGUAAACCUCACCCAUGAGAGUUGUUUGGUUUCACACAGGAGACAAGAUAUAUGGAGGUCCUGAGUGCAGAGUAGGACUAUAUUAAGUUGAUAAAUUUUAUUAACCAGAACAAAAUUCAGAUUAAGGAACUAGGUUGAUAUCCUAAAUACAAUGUGGUACGAUAAUGAAGACAAAUCCAUAACUAAGGCCUCAAACUCAACAGUGAGUGACAGGGAUAUCUCCUCCAAGCAUGUGAAGACUUCUCCCCUCAAGAAUGGGCAGAUGAGAACACUUUGUUCCAAGGGCCAUUAAGGUGGCUGAACCAUGCCUGAGUGGUUACAUUGAAUCGUGAUUGUAAGGUGUGGAAGAGGUAUGAAGGAAGAGAGAAUUUCUAGCAUGCAAGACAGAAAGCUGGGGACAUCAUCUGUCAAUCAAGGUGAAGAUUCCAAACGGAAUGUUCCCAGGAAAGGCAGUUGGAGCCGGGCCAGGAGAGGAACUGAGAGACCUUGGUGGCUCUGGGAGAGUGGUGGAGAAGAAGCUGGGAUUUUUAACUUUGAACUUUUUCUCUUGGUUUUGGAGAGAGUCUGGCUUGGCUUUUGGCUGAAGGGGGGAAAAGCUGAGAAACUGAUCCCUGUUAGCUUCUGUCCCAGGUUGAAGGACCCGUAGGGGGUUUCUGGAGUUAGGCUGAGAAGAAAUUAACUUUUGAUGGUGGUUUUGUGUAAUUGGAAGAAGAAAGAAGAUAUAACAGUUGUCCUCCAUCUCCCUGACAGACUUUUGUGUCACAGUUGUGACAGGACUGACAUUCCCCAAAUCUUCCUAAUCCUCUAUAUAGACUAGGGUAACCCUCAUCCCUCUCACCUCAUUCUACCUCAGUUCUCCAUCCUGUUGUUCCCAAUAAAUCUCCUUA